AAUGUAUGAUGACAAGUUGUUUCGGUCCCAAAUGAUGGUUACUGAUUACUUGAGAUCAGCUGACUUU